UAAUUUGAGACGGAAGUAGGGGUAGGCGAGAUCAGCAGACGCAUUCCACGUGAUCUCUAUUCCAUCGAGACGUUGUCCGAGAAAGUUACCUCAGCGAUUGGCUCAUGGCGGGACAAUUUCUUGUCUGACGUUUAUCGUCAAUGCCUGGGUGAAGUCUGAGCUUCUUCAUUGCAGUACGUGCACGUGAUUGCUGACUUGUCGUUGAAGAGGACCUCCACUAUUUUGCAAGAAAAUCGAGAUGAAAAGAGGAAAUUUGAAAAGGGUUUCUUGUUCAGUUUGAGCUGUUAAUAGUGUUGUUUGGUGUGCAGUGGUUUUGGAGUCAUUCAGUCGAGAGAUGCCCUGAGAUGGAUGAUCAACUGCUGAGAAUCCUCACAUCAUCGUCUUUUUCUAUGGAGACGCUGUCCGAGAAGGUUCACCUUGGCCAUUAAAGUCAUGAGGUCUACUGUACACUUCCCCCAAAAUGUCGUCUCUUGGUUCAUGUUGCAUGUUUCAUCACAGAAGUACUUAAGAAUAGUAAAAGCAAAAAUGUUGAUUAACUUUGAAAUCUGAAGACUUGAACAACAUUGUAAUGGAAAUAGGAAAUCAGAAAUAGCAAUAAUGUUUCCAUGGUCAGCUUGAUGUUUGAACAGUUUUGUUGUGGCUGUUUGGUGUGCGGUGAUUCUCCAGGAGAGAUGUGUCAAGUAGUCAUGUUGGCAGAGUUUUUUCCAGGGACAAAGAGCCCUAUGUUGGCAACAUGCCAAUCGUAUGCCACUGACGCUGGACACUGUCAGUUACAUUGUUCUUGAUGGAUGCGGUCAACUUCAACAUUCUUCUUCACAAAUAUCUCAAAGGAAUAGUGGCUUGGUGAGGUGAGUUUUUUCAUGGUUGAAUGUCCACAUGGACUUGUUGCAGUGAGCUAGUGAAUGGUGUGGUGAGCUGUUUCAUGACGACCAUGUGCUGGUGUGGGGAAGUGCUGCAUGCUGUCUGUGGUGUUGGUUUCCAUUGUCAGUCAGAUGUAUGAGCUAAUUAUGUUGUUGAUCUUUGGUAUGCAGUUCAUGUCAAGGUGGUAUUGUUGCAGCUACUGCUGGUGAAAGGGAGUCUAAGUCGAGUUGAGCUGUAGCUUUGGAAGCAGUCAAACAAUAAUGCUGGCGUUAUUCCGAAUUUUAACAUCAAUGAAGACAUCUUGAAAUGGUCUCGACGUAAAUGCGCAGCGGUUUUGCAGUCCAACUCCUGUUCAAGCUGUUGCUUUCCUGAAUUUUGCUGGAGUCUUCGAAGUAGCUGAACCUGAAGUUAUGAUGCUGGUGUCAUCCUGAAAUAGCUGCUGUUAGUGUUAUCAAGUUACUGUGGCAUUGCAAUUCGGGUUGAUAAAAAUAUUAUAUCCAUGUACUAUGCGAUUGUAGGAACCUUAAGCUAUUUCGUUACCCACUGUGGUAUGUUGCAAUCUGAUGUUUGUUUAAACAGCAGUUAUGUUUCCUGAUAUUAUCCUCACCCUUGUAUAUCAAAUAAUUGUGUUUCAAAGUUAACUUGCAAUAUUUCGAUGUGCGUUGGAAAU
rnacentral:lncRNA from 1 species